AGAUUCAGCCCUUUGUCGCUAA
rnacentral:snRNA from 1 species